rnacentral:rRNA from 1 species
AUGGCUUCCUGCAAACUUCUAGAAUAAGAGGUCCAACCUGCCCAGUGACCAUAAGUUAAACGGCCGCGGUAUUUUAACCGUGCUAAGGUAGCGUAAUCAUUUGUCUUUUAAAUGAAGACCCGUAUGAAAGGUGUCACGAGGACCCUACUGUCUCCUACUUCAAGUCAGUGAAAUUAAUCUGUCCGUGCAGAAACGGACAUACCCCCAUAAGACGAGAAGACCCUGCGGAGCUUAAGACAUACGCCACCUGCGCCUAGAAGCCCUCCCCACCAAAAGGCCACAAAGCAUAGCAGCCCUGGUCCAAAUGUCUUCGGUUGGGGCGACCAUGGGGGACAAAAAAGCCUCCAAGAAGAAACAGGGGGCCAAUUUAACCACCCCCCUAAGAGCUAAGAGUCACAACUCUAAGCAACAGAAAACUCUGACUACUAAUGACCCGGAACACUUCCGAUCAACGAACCAAGUUACCCCAGGGAUAACAGCGCAAUCCUUUCCAAGAGCCCCUAUCGCCGAAAGGGUUUACGACCUCGAUGUUGGAUCAGGACACCCUAAUGGCGAAAAUUCUAUCAAGGGUUCGUUUGUUCAACGAUUAAAGUCCUACGUGA